AACUCUAGAUUUAUAUUCCGAUGAUUAUUCAGAAAUUAGGGCUAAUCUGCACUGGCUCGGAAGGUUGUAAAUGAUUAGCUAGUUUGAAUUUGCAUAACAAUACUGACAAUGAACGUGCAUUCAACGCCACAAGUUUUUUUGUUUUUGUAGCCAAUCAGAAUUUAUCUUUCGAGCCAGUGCAGAUCAGUCGAGAAAUUAGUUCUACUACUGGUAGUAGUAUCCAACAGUAUCUUCAGAUGCUGAUACAGAAAUAACUCACACACUUGCUUUCAAAGUGCUUGGUAGUGCAUACAAACAAUGUUACCAAAAUAUUCUUGAGGAAGGUUCUUUAAUGUUAAACAACUCUGAAGAAGUACUAGCAAGAAUAGUUAGUGAACCAACUAAUCCUAUCAAUGCACAGGCUAUUGCUGUACAACUUAAUUUAGGUCAUGGAUGGGGAGUUGUAGGAUACAUACCAGACGAGUUGCUGGAAUAUAUUCACCCAUUGCUGAAUACAAAUAAAAUUACAGCAGUUAAAGUUCUGCACAUAAAAUUUAAGGCAACAUGGAAACGUAUUGGCAUGUAUGCAAAACUCCUUAUAACGCGCAAAGGUGCAUGGGAUCCUUUUGUUGUCAGAAGGAGUCAGUCUGUCAUGUAAACUUAGAUAGCACAAUUUAGCCAUAUACAUGCGAUGCCAAGUUGUUUGUUUUGUUUUGUUUUGUUUUGUUUUGUUUUUGGGGGGGGGGGCUAUUGUGUUGCCUGAAGAUAAGGGGAUUCACCAGUUUAGUAUUUGGGGGAGGAUGACUGAUUCCCGUCGUUGUUGGCAUCACACAACAACUUUUCUCAUUUUCGACAUCUAGUCCAAAUGUUUUACUCACAAUGGGAGUCUUUGCAGUUGCCCCGUCUGUAUGUUCCACCAAUUUCUCAAGAACCAUGUGUUGGUUUUUGAUGAAACUUGGUGUGUAUAUGCUCUGGACUGGUGUGCAAAUUUGAUUAGGUUUUGGUUGAAAUCUGUACAUAUUAAUUACCUGAUUUUGAUUUUUGGCUCAACGGACCAUAGGUCCGCUGAGCCUAUGGGAUGGGUUUCUGUCCUGUGUCUGUCGUCCGUCUGUCUGUGCAUGACUUCUUCUCAAAAACCGUCGAACCGUUUGACUCGAUUUUUGGUGUGUGGAUGCCUUGACGAGUGUAAAUGGUAAUUUGUUCAUGAGAAGUCGAUCUGCCAAAAAUGAUGCAAAUAAGCCCCCAAAAACUCUAAAAUUUAUUCUAUGCUACUAUGACACUAAGUGGUCUAUAGUGCUGAUGUUGAUAGUGCAUGUGCCUUGGGUUGUCCUCUAUCAGUUUUGUUAAUUUGGUAAGGAAAUUUUCAAUUUCCUCAUUUUGGCGAAUAUUUUGAAAUGGUCAUUUUUGGUCAAUAAUUCUAUUUUCGACUUCUUCAAAACCGGUUGCCUGAAUGCUUUGAUACUUGGUGUGUAUGUACCUUGUGUUGACAUCUACUAGAUUUGUUCAUCCCAUGGCCAUAUCUUUAAUUCUCUAAUUUUGGCAAAUAUUUUUGUCAUAUUUGGUUAAAAAUGGAAUUUCAACUAACCACUAUUUCCAAUGCUUUGGUGUUAGGCAUACAUGUGUUUAUUGACAACUUUGUGUGGUUGUUUGGCGAUAUUUCAUUUAAAAAUACAAAUUGUUGACAUCUUCAAUUCAAAAAUAGUACUUUUGACUUGUUCUUCAAACCAGUAGUCCAAAUUCUUUGAUACUUGGUACACAUGUAGCUUGGAUGACACUUCAAUCAGUCAGUAAAAGUGGCCAAAUUUAUCAAAAAUUUCAGAAAUUCAUGAUUUUUUUUUUAUUACCUUCUCCUUUAUGCACUACAAUGGACAAAACUUGGGAAGAUUAUACAAUGCCAUAUUGAAAUUGUAUGCUCACAGGGAGAUAUGUAAUGUUUCCCAUUUGUUCGUCAUUCUCGCAUAGCACAUGGGGUUUCCAAGUACAUACAUACCAAUAUUUAGGCUAUUUUGGUGAUAUCUUGAGAACCAUUUAAUGUUUUAAUAAAACUUGGUGCAUAGAUGUGUUGGGGCAGUUUCCAGAUAGUUUUUGGUGGAAAUUUAUGCAAAUUAUCUAAUUUGCAUAUCAGCUAGUGAAAUUCAAGCCAUUUGGGAGCUAUUCAACAAAACUUGGUAUAUACAUGUAUUACAAAUUCAGAUAAUUGCAAAUGUUAUGUUCUUUUUAAGCUCUUUGAUUCUAAUUUUAUUGAAUAUUUGUUAUUUUUGAAAAAAAUUCCACUUUUAGCAUGUUUUAUUGUCUCACUUUUGGGGUAAUUGUCAUAUACAGCACUAAUCUUUUGUACAAUAGCCGUUGAGCAACAGGCCAUUGGCCUAUUAUUGGUGUAGAACAUUUGAAAGCUUGUUUGCAAGCAUGAUGUAUCACUUGGACCAAAAUAUUAAAUGAAUGAGCUUGACCUGAAUGUGAAAAUUUGGCUAUACAACACAAGACAUGGACAGACAAAUUGAUUUUCACAAAUUGAUUUUCACACAUUCAUUUACUGUGCAAUACUUUAUUUUCACUGGGAUUUGAUAGUAAAUAACUGUAUAUGGUUCAUUAUUUUGUGUGUCAAACAUUCAUAAAUGGAAAAUAAAGAACGCAUUAAUGCGUAUUUAUUUUUAUUAAAACUGUUGAACUUACAAAGUUGAGUUUACAUGUCUUAUUUAGAUACCAGCAGUGCAACACCAAUGGAGAGUUUUGGGUGCUCAUGAAGAUAAAAAGCACAAUUAAAUUCACCAUUUUCAGGUAUGAGAAAACACUUUACACUAAACUAACACUAGUUUAUUCAACAUUUAAAUGCAUGUUUGGCCUGCUAAAUUGAGGCUGAAAGUUUCAACAAAAUCUUACCAGAUGUAGUUGGUGGUCAAGUAGACAUUCAUAAUUUGAGAUUUGCUUUUCAAACAAGCUUGGCAAAUAAUUGUUGUCUGCUACUAUAGAUGCAUAAUAGAUGAAAUGAACAAAUCUCAAACAAGGUCCAAUGAGCAAAUAAACAGAAAAGAUGAUAGAAAUCACCUCUGUUUAAUAAAGAUAAUCUGACCUCCCGCCCUCCUUUUCACGUGGAAGGUCACCCCAGUUUUUUAUCUGACAUGAAGCAUCUCACUAAACAU
rnacentral:lncRNA from 1 species